GGCAGUUUUAUAAGCAGCUUUUCCCCUCUUUGCCCAGCACUUCUUCCUGCCACCAUGCGAAGAAGGAUGUGUUUGUUUUCCCUUCUGCCACAACUGUGGAGGCAACCCAGUGUCCAUGACAGCUGAGUGGAUAAGAAAAUGUGGUCUAUGCAUACUGCAGAAGAGUAUUCGGCCUUGAAAAGGAAUGAAGUUCUGACACAACACACCACCUGCUUAAACCUUGAGGACAUUAUGGUGACCCUUAAGGGAUGUCCCUAGGCUCCUCUGGCUCUUCAGGGCACUGCAAGAAAAUCACUGUAUUUGGAAAGAUGUG
rnacentral:lncRNA from 1 species